rnacentral:rRNA from 1 species
UCGUUUUGGGAUGAGCUUGCGUACUAUCAGCUUGUUGGUAGGGUAACGGCCUACCAAGGCGAUGACGGUUAGGGGGUGUGAGAGCAUGACCCCCAGCAUUGGCACUGAGACACUGGCCAAACACCUACGGGUGGCUGCAGUCAAGAACCUUCCACAAUGGGCGAAAGCCUGAUGGAGCGACGCUGCGUGCGGGAUGAAGGCCUUCGGGUUGUAAACCGCUUUUGUAGGGGAAGAAUCCGCCUUUGGCGGAUGACGGUACCCUUUCGAAUAAGAGGUUGCUAACUCUGUGCCAGCAGCAGCGGUAAUACAGAGACCUCGAGCGUUGUCCGGAUUUACUGGGCGUAAAGCGUCUGUAGGGGGCUUGUUAAGUCUUAAGUUAAAUCUUAAAGCUCAACUUUAAGUUCGCUUAAGAAACUAAUAAGCUAGAGCAUAGCAGAGGCGCAUGGAACUUGCGGUGUAGGAGUGAAAUCCUUUGACAUCGCAAGGAAUACCAAAGGCGAAGGCAUUGCGCUGGGCUAUUGCUGACCCUGAGAGACGAAAGCGUGGGGAGCAAAACGGAUUAGAUACCCGUGUAGUCACGCCGUAAACGAUGAAUACUAGAUGUCCGGGGUUUCGACCCCCUGGGUGUCGCAGCUAACGCGUUAAGUAUUCCGCCUGGGAAGUACGGCCGCAAGGCUAAAACUCAAAGGAAUAGACGGGGAUCCGCACAAGCGGUGGAGCGUCUGGUUUAAUUCGAUAGUAAGCGAAGAACCUCACCAAGACUUGACAUCCCGCGACAGCAUUGGAAACAAGGUUUCCUUCGGGCGCGGUGACAGGUGCUGCAUGGUCGUCGUCAGUUCGUGCCGUGAGGUGUUCCGUUAAGUCGGGAAACGAACGAAACCCCUUUUGUAUGUUAUAUUUUUCAUACGAUACUGCCCGGGUCAACUGGGAGGAAGGUGGGGAUGAAGUCAGAUCAGCAUGGUCCUUAUGUCUUGGGCUACACAGGCGCUACAAUGGCCGAUACAAUGGGUUGCCAAAUCGCGAGAUGGAGCUAAUCCCAAAAAGUCGGUCCCAGUUCGGAUUGGAGGCUGCAAUUCGCCUCCAUGAAGCCGGA